rnacentral:rRNA from 1 species
GAUGAACGCUAGCGGCAGGCUUAACACAUGCAAGUCGAGGGGCAGCACGUCUUCGGAUGGUGGCGACCGGCGCACGGGUGCGUAACGCGUAUAGAAUCUACCUUUUACAGGGGAAUAGCCCAGAGAAAUUUGGAUUAAUGCCCCAUAGUAUUAUAGAAUGGCAUCAUUUUAUAAUUAAACAUUUAUGGGUAAAAGAUGACUAUGCGUUCUAUUAGCUAGAUGGUAAGGUAACGGCUUACCAUGGCGACGAUAGAUAGGGGUCCUGAGAGGGAGAUCCCCCACACUGGUACUGAGACACGGACCAGACUCCUACGGGAGGCAGCAGUGAGGAAUAUUGGACAAUGGGCGAGAGCCUGAUCCAGCCAUGCCGCGUGCAGGAAGAAGGUCCUAUGGAUUGUAAACUGCUUUUAUACAGGAAGAAACACCUCU